GUGGGGAAUAUUGGACAAUGGGCGAAAGCCUGAUCCAGCCAUGCCGCGUGUGUGAAGAAGGUCUUCGGAUUGUAAAGCACUUUAAGUUGGGAGGAAGGGCAGUAAGUUAAUACCUUGCUGUUUUGACGUUACCGACAGAAUAAGCACCGGCUAACUUCGUGCCAGCAGCCGCGGUAAUACGAAGGGUGCAAGCGUUAAUCGGAAUUACUGGGCGUAAAGCGCGCGUAGGUGGUUCGUUAAGUUGGAUGUGAAAGCCCCGGGCUCAACCUGGGAACUGCAUCCAAAACUGGCGAGCUAGAGUACGGUAGAGGGUGGUGGAAUUUCCUGUGUAGCGGUGAAAUGCGUAGAUAUAGGAAGGAACACCAGUGGCGAAGGCGACCACCUGGACUGAUACUGACACUGAGGUGCGAAAGCGUGGGGAGCAAACAGGAUUAGAUACCCGGGUAGUCC
rnacentral:rRNA from 1 species